ACAAAAGACACGCCGAGGGGCCGCGGGGCCCGCCGAGGUGCCGUCUGCCCUAGUCCGUCCCCGGGCCGCAGCCCCUCCCCGCCGGGCGCAGGCGUCACGGGGAGCCCCCCGAAGCCCAGCUUUGGGGGUGCACGGAGGGGGGUGUGGGGGCGGGGAGGGCGGCGCGGGCUGCGGACCAGCGCCCGGCCUGCGGGGGGAGGGGCACCGCCCCCGCGCGCGCCCCCGAGGUGCCCGGCCCGUGUGGGGGCGGGGAGCAGGCCGCGACCGGACGGUCGCCGCGCCCCAGUUGAAAACGCGCCCGAGCGGGAAGCUGGCAGUCCCAGUGGAAGCCCCAGCUCCGCGCCCACUUUCGGACCGCGCGGCGCGCCAGGGGCGGCGGACCCGCGGGCCUCUUCCCGCCUUCGCUCCCCGCCGAGCGCGGGCCCGUCCGGAGGCCCGGGUCAAGUCGCCUGAGGACAAGUUGGUCGCAGACUCUAGCCCCCGGGAGAGGCGGGGCAGUGCGGAGACUGCCGGCGCGUCGCAGGUGGUGGCACCGGGGCCGAGGGACAGGGCUCGCCCUCUUCCUAGGCCGCGGUUCUUAGUGCAAGAUGGCUGUUAUUUUGUAAGCCUCUGAGACAAUGUGCAACCCAGCUGCAGCAGUCUAAGGCAGAGUAGGCCUUUCCACCCCUUCGCUGGUGGAGGAGCGCUGCAGAAAUCUCGUGACAUAAGAGCCUAAUGUCAGCUCCAGGAGGCUGAAACGGCAGGUAGAAGGAAAGGCUGUUUCCCGCUUUCCUCCUGCCCAGUAGCUUGGGCCACAAGACGGCAGAGCUCAAGUUCUCAUUAAGUGACCAUCAGACAUCUGAACCGUCCCCAGAUGGUAUUGACCAGGCUCCAUAACUCUGGGUGAAGGCUUUCGGUAGAAGAGUCACGAAGGUCCCAUAGGGUACUGAUGAAGGACAGUGCUAUAUAUGUAAUCUGAAGACCUCUCUUAAGCAGUCUUAUCAUAAACAUUAUCCUGAAACAGAUAUGUGGAAAUCAGAUAUGAGAGAAGAAAUGGAUUUGUCCAAGGUCACUGAGAUGAGGAACAGACCCUAGAGGGAAAAAAAAACAACCCAGGCCUCCUGUUCCAUUAUUAUUUAAUGAGUGUUAAGUGUUGAUGAACACAUGCAAUCUGCGAUACUACCCUAAAUGCACAUAUGCAAAAAACCCUCCACGGAGCUGCCAGUGGAGAAUUCCUAUAAUUUGAGCCAAGAAGCAUUUUUUUUCCUCUUGCUUGUUUGUGUUUUGUUUUCAGGAAACUAAAAUAUUUGUUGCUGGAUUUAUCCAAGAAGGCUGUUACAUAUCAAUUGAAUCAGUCAUAUCUUCAAGAAAUGUUAACGUGUCAUAGUACUUUCUAUGUAUGCUAGGUUUCCUCAUACAUGCCUCCUGGCUUUAAGCAGAUAAUUCUAAGGGAUGGAAGGACCUUGUCUGGUGAACUACUUCGUGUGGGUUGUGGGUUCUGUGAACCGACUGAAGUUGCCCAUCUCUAACAUGGAAGUAGUAUUUAUUUGUGUGAUGGUAGUCCGCAAGCUCAUUUGGCAAUAUGACUGGCUAUCGCCUCUUAGUAAUCAGGAAGUUCCAGAUUUGCCAUAUAUAUAUAUGGCAUGCCAGUUCUGCUCCGUACAGUUUGGGAAGACGGAGUGCUGCAGUGAACCGCACCGGUAACAGUCCUGGCCUGCCUGAGUCUUUCUGGAAGCAUUGCGUGCACAGGGAAGCUGCACUUGACCAGGGGACAGGAUGCUUUGGAGCCCCGAGAAUGGCAAAAGACUGUAGCUAAUGGAAACAGAGGCUUUAUUACCAGUUCGUGGCAGCUAGGAGAGGUGCUCUGAAAAAAAAAAAAAAAAAAAGCCUUUUUCUUUUCAAGGAUUCUUAAGGGGCACCAGAGGUUAGUCUUUUGUUGUCUUAGAGUCUCCCCGUGUAGCUCUUGGUUUAGCCUGGAACUGACAUGUAGACCAGCAGGUUGGCCCCCACCUCACAGGGAUCUGCCUACUUCCUAAAUGCUGGGAUUAAAGGCACGUGCCAACACCCCAGAGGACAGACUCCUGGAGCUCAGUCACCCCUCAACAUUUGGAGUUUAUUGUAAUGGAAAGAAGGGAGCAAAAGCUUAAAAUCAGGUUAAAAUCUGCCUAGAAUAAGAUAAUUAUGGCUGCUAAUUAAGAUUUGCUUAUAAGUGAAAGGAUGGAAUAAAUUGCCAAAGCUAGGUGUGAUGGUGGAUGCCUGUAAUCCCAGCAGUUCAGAAUCACACCCAGAAGGACCAUUCAGAGUAGGAGGUUUGCCUGCUCUCAGCACGGCGUUCCAAACCUGUUAAGCCUACAUGGGAAGACUAUAUCAAAAAUUCAAAAACCAUGUCAAUCGCUUCAUUCUUCUUUGCUCACCAAGCACAAAAAAAAUGCUGCCUGUUGGAGAUGUUUCUGAACACUCAAGACCCUUUUCUCUGAGGUGUUGAUUUAAAUCUGUCAUUUGUUUGUUUAUGGUCUGUUUUCUGCCAGUAAGAAUAUAAACUCUAAAAUACUUUUGCCUGUUUCUUCUACUGAAGCAUUGCCCUGCCGCAUACAUGCUAACACAUUGGGUUGGAGACCUUUAUCUAAAGCUGUAACUGUUAGGAAAUCUCACCCACUCCAUGGUAGUUAUCAUACACAAAGGUAGAUGAAAUAGCACAAUUAACUCCCAUGUACCCGUU
ensembl:antisense